GAAAAGGGAAGGGGUGUGGUCUGCUUCAAGAAAAGGACUAAAAAUGAUGUGCGGACAUUGUAGUGCAACAGGUCACAACCAAAGAAGAUGUCCUAUGCUUCAAAGAUCAAAACAACCAGCCCAAGAUGUGCUUGUGUCAACACCCCAAGCCAUUCAAGAAGAAUCUGGUAUCAUGUCUACUCCUGGCUUUGCUGCUUCUUCAAGUCAACCUGAUGGUCUUUCAAAAUCAAAGGAAAUUGAAAAGAACCCAGCUGGACCUUCAAAGUCAAAGAGAAAAAUAAUUGUUGAGGAAUUUGAGGAUGGGCAACAUGUUGAACCUUCAAGUGCAGUUGCUGAUGAGGAUGGAGAUGAGCAUGAAAGUGAAGACGAG
rnacentral:misc_RNA from 1 species